GACGAACGCUGGCGGCGUGCUUAACACAUGCAAGUCGAACGGCAAGGCCCUGCUUUUGUGGGGUGCUCGAGUGGCGAACGGGUGAGUAACACGUGUGUAACCUGCCCUUGACUUUGGGAUAACUUCAGGAAACUGGGGCUAAUACCGUAUAGGAGCUCCUGCUGCAUGGUGGGCGUUGGAAAGUUUCGGCGGUUGGGGAUGGACUCGCGGCUUAUCAGCUUGUUGGUGGGGUAGUGGCUUACCCAGGCUUUGACGGGUAGCCGGCCUGAGAGGGUGACCGGCGACAUUGGGACUGAGAUACGGCCCAGACUCGUACGGGAGGCAGCAGGGGGGAAUAUUGCACAAUGGGCGGAAGCGUGAUGCAGCAACGCCGCGUGCGGGAUGACGGCCUUCGGGGUGUAAACAGCUGUCGCCUGUGACGAAGCGUGAGUGACGGUAAUGGGUAAAGAAGCACCGGCUAACUACGUG
rnacentral:rRNA from 1 species